UCAGUUUCCGCCCGUGUGCUUUCAAAAG
rnacentral:piRNA from 1 species